GUUAAGUGCAUGCAUAUCAAUAUUCGCAACGUCUUCUUGAAAAAAUUGACCCUUUCCUAACUAUAAAAUGUCACUAUCUUUGGGAAUACUCCUUGUCUUGAGGUCUCUUUUAUUUGAUUUUUAAAUAGCCUUCCCAGCUUUCUUAUGCUUUUGUUUUCUUGGUACGGCUUUUGUCCAGCUAGUUAAAUAUAGAAUAAUAGAUAUGUUUGGAAGCAAAUAAAAUAAUGGCAAGAAUAGUUUUGAAGUGAAUGACAGUGAGCCAGAGAUAAAGUUUACAAGGACUGAGACUCCUUGUUGCAGAAAUGAAGCAGUGGGUUUCCUCGCCUGGGAGCAAGAGUUGCAGAGUGGAGGCUCCUGGGGGGAGAAAACUGGCCACGAAUGGCAACAAGAACAUCUGUGACGCGCGCACCCCAGCUCCCCCCACUGCUCACCCAUCCCUCAACAAUAUCAGGGCUCUGUGACAAGGCGGCAGGGGUUGCAUCGAGGCAUUUUUUGGACAUGCACCCUGUGCCAUCUUCUGUGCCAACCCUGAUGGUGCAAGGAAUGAGGCCAGAUACACUCCCUGUUGUCCUCAAGCAUCAGAAGGCCUCCUAGGAAGAAAAAUGAGUGCUACUAGCACAAGUUCUGGAGAAGAGUGAAACCACUCCCAGCUGAGGCAGCCAGAAAAGACUUCCUCACCACUGGUACCAUUCCACUGGCUCCACCGCACAUCUGAACCUCCGCAUCUCACUUCUUCCACUAGUACCAUCUACUCUAAGGGCAGAGAUAAUGCCUUUAAACCCUAAGAUGAGUAGUGAAGCUCUGCAGAGAGCAGAUGUCACAUACAGCUAAGCGUCAGAAGGUGAUAUUGAGAACACACAAUUUUGGAGAUAUUGGCUGUAGAUAAAUAAUGAUCAUUGUUGAUAGUCCCAGAAUUUCCAUGCUUGAACUGGCAAUUCUGAGAAACAUGUGUCUUUGGUUCCUGGGUCUUCUUUUCUACACUGCCAUUUGAUUCAGAUCAAAAAGCAUAAGCUGCCACUGGCCUCCUUCCUUCCCUUCAUGCUAGAUGAGCAUAAUCUCCACUCUUGUUUUCGUUUCCCCAUCUUUGACACAUCACAUGCUCCACCUUGUUUGCAGUGACAAGCAGUGUGGAAGGGAACGCUGGCUUCCCUGAUCAAAGAGGCAAGGCUGGUUCUGCAGCAAAGACAUUCCAGGAAUAGAGGUUCAAAGAUUUCAUCUGUUUGUCCAACUGUCCCCAUCUUAAGCCUACUCCUUUUCAAUCAUGGCCUCUACUGUAACAAAGGGGACUGGUUCCAACUGUCUGCCUUGGGCCUGCGCUUCAGCCACACCUGCUUUGGCUGUAGGAGGUACAGUAUUCCUUUGUGACCUCUGUGAGGGUUUCUUCACAAUUCCUCUUGUGCCUUAAAUCAGGUGUUCAAUUCUUAAGCUUGGAUUAAACUGUCAUAGCUCUCUGGAACUGUUGCAGCAGGUGGCCCAUGACUGCAGACCCUCCAUUAUCACAACAGCUACUGUGCACUGGGCUGCCCUGGCCUGGCCACUUCCAGCACCCCACUGCACAUGGUGAAUCCCCAGCAUGUCUUUCCCCCAGCAAAAAUAUCCUGUGACCACUCACCAGGUAUGUCAACAACCUAAUUCUGGAGUCUCCUACUGAGGAUAUAUUUCUGGGGCUACUCCUUGUUCCAAUUACUGUAUAAAUCAGGAUCUGGGCAAGAAACAGAUGGUACCCACAAAGCAUCCAAGUGCAGAUCAUUGGUUGGAAAAGCAGUUUAUAAGGCAUAAGUACAAAUAAUGCUCCAAUAAGGGAUGAUAAGGCUGAGAGAUGCCCAGGCAUAGCAACAGUUAGGACAAUGACAAUUUUGGCUUGGAGUGACAAGAGGAGGAAGUGUUUUCACCAGAGGCUGGGGAGAGCUGGAGCCAUGGAAACCUAUCCAACAGGAGCUGUGGCCAUAGAGGAACACAACCACUGCCAGACCCACAGUCAGGCAAGAUCAGAUCAGCCUGACAUCUUUAUCUCUAUACCAACCCACAGUUUCCUGCUGAUGCCCAUUGUCUGAAUCCACCCUGAAGCCAGCAUGCAAGGAAACCCAGUGAUGCAGUCGAAAUGUCAGCCUCCCACACGCAGCAGAGUGCAGGAUCAACCUAACGGGACAAGUGGAGAAUAAUCUGCACCUGUAUUAGGAGAAAGAAUGAAAAUUAGUGGGUAAUUUUCAUAGGCUAUUCCUGAAGUUGAUGCACAUCCCACUGUCCUGCAUUUCACAGGUUGGAACUCAGCCACAUCUCAAGGGAAGCACUAAAACCCAGUCUUGUGUACCCAGCAUCAGAGGCUCUAGUGAAUGACUAGCCAGUCUCUGCCAUGGAUAUUUUCUAAUAUCUUUACUCCAAAGUUUGAGUGAAAAAGGAAGAGGGGAGGAGAUCCAAAUAAAAAGGAAAAGUGGGUGCUCUACUGAAUAUUCACUGGGCCUGUUGCACUUCUCAAGGCAGGCAAAGGCUGGUAGGGUAUUGCUUCACACUUCUUAGCAUGACAAUGAUAUGCUUAUCUGACAAAAUUAUAGCAACAUGCAGUCAAGCCUUUCAGUAGCCUUUGAGUAUCAUCAUGAAAAACUACAUGCCCCUCACAAAGGCACAUGUGUAUUCAAUGACAGAACCCUUAAACUUCCAAAGAAAAGAUAGAGGCAAAUUCCCAGAGUACAAGUAAUCAGGGAAGCAGGACAAAUCUCUUGAGAUUCUAGUGAGGAUGUUGCUGUCAAGGCUGUGUAUGAAGAGAGACCUCAUGUUUGGAGACCUUGGACAGCUCCAUUCACGCAGCAUUGAGUUUUGCUUUAGGCUCAUGCCCAGGCUCAGGCUAACCUCAUGGUGCUUGUCUUAUAUUAGAAUAUUUUUAAAGCUCUCUUUGCGAAAUCUGAUGUCAGAGUUAGAAUGUCAACUGCUUGUCAAAACGUACAUAAUUUGAUGCCAGAUUUUUUAAUGUCAAGCAUAAUCACAGAUAUCAUCCACAUAUGCCCAGAGAAGCUACCCAAAGGAAACUGAAACCAUAUUGCUAACAUCACUGACUGUGGCAAGAAAAUGUAAUCAACAAAGGCAUCUUGAGAUUAAGAAAGUUGAAACCUCAGUGAGGCUGCUUCUCUGUAAAAAAGAACUCCAAAGACCCACAACACAGUGGGACCUGUCCACAGUCCCAAUCCAAUUGAUGGUAUGAAAGCAUUGUUUUUCUCUAAAGCAUUUUCAGGUCUCAGCAGUAUUCAAGGGCACCUUUAAAAGCAGUGCACAUGUGUCAGGUGAGCAUCAGGGCAGCUCAACCUGGUGCCCCCGGUGCAGUUGUGGGUGAUGAAGACACAGGAUAGUGCUAAGCCAGAGGAGGAAAGGAGAAAGAGCAUAGCUCAAGCCCAGACCCAAGGGUGAAUAUAUUUUGAGAAUCACUCUGUGUUGGUUUCCAUUGGAUUUCCUGACUGUGUGGAAAGGUGGUGCUUUGUCUCUCUUGGGCAAAAGCUGAACAGAAACAGACUUACCUGCAUUAUGCCAAGUGCCUGAGGACUUCUAAAGUCCAUGUAUUUUUCCAUGAGAGGUGAGUGGUGCCGGUUAAGAGUUGCCAGAAUGUGGAGAGAGAGGAAAGUAGAGGGGGAAGCCGAUGUGCCUGCAGGAAGCAGGGUAAAGUUGAGGUGAGGGGUGGGCUGGCGAGUGAAGGGAGUUUGCUAGAGAGUAAGAGAGAAAGGCGAGCACGUGAGGAAGAGCAAUCUUUCCAGCAAUCAGGACAAGCAGAACGUGCUUGCAUCUCCAGCACUGCAGUGGCUGCUGAAUGCCACUGGGGCAUUCAGUAUGACCACCCACACCCAAGCACGCGUGAGCAGGCAGUGUGUAUUUCAGCACAGAUAAUGUUUUCGGGUGUGUAUAGAGGAAAAAAGCAAAUCAUUUCCUCCUCUUACUAUACUCUCUGCACUCUCCAUACGUCACAUCUGACAUCAGUUAUGUAAGUAUCUGCCACACCAAGCAAUUCCUCAAUUCUCUGUGGACACCGGCAGGGCAUCUUACAGUUUAACUCAAUUCUGGUGCUAUCUCCUUGUGAUAGCAUCAGAUCCUGCAGGUUAAGGGCUCAGGUUCACAAAGCUUCCCCCACUUCAGACGCCAGUCACAAACAGCAGGACCCUAGGCUACCUGCAACUUCUGUCUGACUUGCUUACAAGUCGGAGGUCCCCACAGCACCCACUUUAUGUCUGAUAAUAGCAAAUUAUCCAUAGCAAUGGAGGCUCACUGAACUUAGGCAAACAUUACUAUUAUUGGUUUAUUAUAAAGCAUGCAAAUCAACAGCUAGGUGAAGAGAUACAUAGGGUGAGGUUUGGAAGGGUUCCAAGCACAGCAGCCUCUGUCCCAGUGGAUUUGGGUUGCAUGACCACCUCACAACAUGUGGAUGUCUGCAGCAUCCCAAAAGCUCCCAGAAUCCCAUUGUUCAGGGAUUCUUAUGGAGGCUUCAUCAUCUAGGUAUGACAGAUUAUUAACUCAAACUCCGUGUUUCUCCCUUUCCCUGAGGAUGGUGGAAGGAGGAAAUUGAAAGCUCCAAGCUUCUAAUCACGGCUUGGACUUUCUGGUGACCAGUGCCUAUCCAGGAACCAUGAAGAGUUGCCUAAGAGCAAGAGAUGCGGCCGGGCGCGGUGGCUCACGCCUGUAAUCCCAGCACUUUGGGAGGCCAAGGUGGGCAGAUCACCUCCUGAGGUCUGAACUUCGAGACCAGCCUGACCAACGUGGAGAAACCCCGUCUCUACUAAAAAUACAAAAUUAGCUGGGCAUGGUGGUGCAUGCCUGUAAUUCCAGCUACUCAGGAGGCUGAGGCAAGAGAAUCACUUGAACCCAGGAGGUGGAGGUUGCAGUGAGCAGAGAUUGUGCCAUUGCACUCCAGCCUGGGCAACAAGAGCAAAACUCCAUCUGAAAAAAAAAGAAAAAAAAAAGAACAAGAGAUCCUCCAGUCACCCAGGACAUUUCAAGGGAUUUAGGAGAUUUGUGCCAGGAACUGGCUUCAAAAACCAAAUAUUAGAACAAAAGAUUCUCCUAAUAUCUCUAUCUACAAGGGUUUUAGGAGCCUUAUGUCAGAAAUGGCGGAUAGAUUAUAUGCAUAGUCUUAUUAUUCACAGGGUUGAAUGUAUGUUUAUAGUAGAGGAGAAAUAUCUAUGGUUGGUGGUAGAAACCAAGGUGCUUAGCGUGCUCUGAGGCAGGAAAUGCAGGCUUUAAUAGCCUAUCCUGUUCCUUUCCUGAACACCCAAGCAAUGCAUCAGGUACAGAGCAAAACACCAUCUGGGUACAAAUGGCAAGUCCCUAACUUUCCUUUCUUUUCAUGAAUAGGGUAGGUGCACCCUUGAUUAGUUAACCAUACCCACAAAUCAAGUACCUAGAUAUGCAUUCGUUUCCUCUAAGGGCCAUCUCAAAGUACAGAGCUGCUCACCUCCCUUUAGAGAAUCCAGUUUAAAGAACACGUAUUGUAAUCCUGGAGAGCGUCCUAGAAACUCACAAAUAGGUGUAACUGAACACUUCUCCCAGGACUUACUGGAUUUGACAGAUCUAAUUCAAGAUUGUAGGAAACAUCUUUUCUCUAGCGGGUUGUUGUUGAAAAUUGAAACAAUUUCUCUAGUCUCACCAUAGUUUGAAAAAAAAUCCCCCUGAGGCGGCUCGAGGAGGUUUAACUAAAUUCACUCAGAAGUCUCAAAAUAACCACUGCUGUGAGGUGCACGUGCUCGCAUGCUUCCAGUGGCUAACACUGAAUUAACAAGCUGACUCCCUGCGGAGGCUGUGGCUAGUUGGCCAUGUAAGUUGAGUCCAAGGGACUCAUCUGAGCUGUUUCCAUAAAAGACAAACAGUCUUAUAAACAAAAUAAAUGAACCACACGAUAAACAUUUCUGGCCAGAAUCUGGAGCUUGAAUUUUUCUAAACAAUCUCUCAGGAAGGUAAUUUUCAGGUGAAGACAUGAUGACAACAUAUCCCCUUAAAAGUGACAAAAACAUAUGAACUAUUGGUCACUCUAUAUGAAUCCAUCAUUAUUUUUGGCCACAUCAGUAAAGAAACUAAAAACUUCAGAGGAACAAGAUGAUCUAAAGCUGGUGAGAAUAUUAGGAGUUUAAAUGAUUUUUUCAAUGUAAGAAACUGUUGGGAAAUGUACCUGGACAAUCACACGCGUGUAGAGACUCCAGCUGCACAUAUUCAAUCUGUCAUUAGAAGGAAGCCCUUCCAGACAGCACCCUCAUCAUCAAAUGAAAAAGCACCUCCCUGGGGCCCGUUCUCCGCUCUGUCUCACUGACGGGCCUGACGAUUUCUCCACGGUAGAAGCUAGACUAAGUUCUUAUCACCUGCCUCCCCAGAAGCUACCCCAGCACCUCAAGCGGCCAGGGCAUUCUGUGUUUCCCAAUUCCAGGAUUGUGUAUGGUUCAGCACAUCCACUAGGGACUAAGCCCUUUACAACAGCACUCACUGAGGGAGGCUGUGAACUGGGUAUGGUAAGAAAAAAACCCAUGUUUUUCUGUUUGUUUUGUUCCUUGGCCUUCAGCAUUCAUUUAUUUUCUGGGAAUCACAUUCAUCUUUUCCUCUGGGAAAAGAAAUGCACCUUGACUCUCAGCCCAUGUGCACCCAAGACUGGAGACUGAAUUGCUUCAAGGAUAACCAUAUGACUAGAUCAGAGCCAGUGAAUGCAAAGAUAGGCAUUCAGGGGGACCUGGGACUCUUGUUCCUUCCUGCUGGAUGCCAGGACCUCUACCAGAAUGACAGAAAUGAAAAAGAGUGACAACACCAAAUGCUGGUGAGGAUGCAGAGGAAUGGGAUCCUUCGGACACUGCUGGUGGAAACACGAAAUGGUGUAACCACUGUGGAAAACAGUUUAGCAGGUGGUUUUAAAAAGUACAUAACAUGUCAAUUGGUACAUUUUAGCAGAUGUUAAAAUUAACUAAGAACUUCUGUUGUAGUGGUGCAAAAAUCAAUGGUGUCCUUCUAUUGCCUUGCUUUAUACAUUCUUUUAGAAAAUGUCAGAUUUCCAAUUGAACUAAAUUGUGGACCUUUCUAUUAAUUUAAUGGUUUUGU
rnacentral:lncRNA from 1 species